UAACUAUAUUCUAAAGCAUACCAAGCUCUUCGUGUUUGCUGCUGGAGUGACUGUGUGCUGCUUUGCCCUUAGAUGAAGCAAUGCUUUCAUAACUUCUGAAGAUGCCUGAAUGGUCUAAGGUGACACACAUAAUUCAUCACCUCCUUCAUCUUACUGCAUUCAUUCGCUGAUUUACCACGUCUUCCUGUGAGCUCCGAGAGCAGGUUCUGUGAUAACUUCUAAAAUAGCACGGAACAGGAGUAGGAGAACUGUGGAACAAAAACAUCGUUAAACUGAAAUUUCUUGACGCCGCCAGCUGAA